GGAUUGUGAGCCUGCCCAUGUGUCUGGGGGGAUUAUCUGGCUUAGCCUGAAAUGAGAAAUAAGAAAUAGUGGGGCAGGGCGUGGUGGCUCAUGCCUGUAAUCCCAGCA